UUGCGGGGGCCACCUCUCGCGAGGAGUCCGUGUUCGCAGGGGGGGCUGGGUCAGCCUCCGGCUUCCCUUCAGGGGAG
rnacentral:SRP_RNA from 14 species